rnacentral:tRNA from 2 species
GAUAGAGGCCCGCCGCAACGAGGGUUGCUACCCUAAGUUUACUUCGGUUAAACUCCGAUGCUCUUUCG